rnacentral:rRNA from 1 species
UACGUAGGGGGCAAGCGUUGUCCGAUUUAUUGGGCGUAAAGAGCGUGUAGGCGGCUUGGUAGGUCCGCUGUGAAAACUCGAGGCUCAACCUCGAGACGUCGGCGGAAACCAUCUGGCUAGAGUCCGGAAGAGGAGAGUGGAAUUCCUGGUGUAGCGGUGAAAUGCGCAGAUAUCAGGAAGAACACCCGUGGCGAAGGCGGCUCUCUGGGACGGUACUGACGCUGAGACGCGAAAGCGUGGGGAGCGAACAGG